AAAAAAAAGCGUUACUGACUACUAAUCUCCUAUAUUAAUUUAUUAACGUUUUUUUUAUAAGUAUAUUUAUUAAGGUUUGAGAAAAAUCUGAGAGGAUUUUCUAAUUUCAAAAAUAGAGAAAAGCCAUUUUCGUCACUUGUCUCUCUCCAUCGCUCUCCCCAAUUUCUCAUUAUCGCAAUUCACAAUCUCUCUCUCUCUCUCUCUCUCUCUCUCUCUCUCUCUCUCUCGUCGUUUGUGUAUAUGGAGCCAUGGCUGCCUGCGGCUUCGUCAAGCUCAACGCCUCAUCUUUCAACUGGAUCGAUCAACAGUCAUCUGCGCCGAGUUACCAUCCCGAUCCGCGCCGGGGCUUACACUGAUGAACUCGUUAAAAUCGCUGUUGGCUGCCCUUUGCACUACUCAUUUUGUGCAACUGGAAAUUGGGGCUUUUGAAGGAAUCUUCAGCCACAUGAAAUUGUUGAGCAGCAUUGCUGGUGCAGCAUGGGAAACAAUGGUAUCUCAGAGAUAAUAACACAUUGUGUUGUAGCAGAACCUCCAUCAGAAGGUUUAAGAUGAGCAACAUGAUCAACUGAGAUUCUUUCUGCUUCUACUGUAUAUGAAAGAGGUCCAACAAAAAAAAAAAAAUUUUUAAUGCAAGGAAAAGUUGGUCGGUAUGCACCAGUGUUCGAGAAGUACCAGUAAAAAGCAGAGUCAUUUAUGUGUGGUUGUAUCAGAAAGAGUAGCUGGAAUGUUCAGAAGACUCCUAUUGGUCUUAUUUUCAAGCAGAGAUGGAACAACUAUCUACUCUGACUACCUCACUUCUUCUGGUAAAUACCUCAAGUGUGCUUCCAGCAAUGUUGCUCCCUCUCAACUUCUUUCAUUCUUUAAAGCUCAGGUUGAUUAAAUUUUGGGAGACAACCCCAGAGCUACAAGCUACAUGGUUGGGUAGGGAAACAACUACCCUCGUCAAGUUCACCACAGGGAUUCUUCCAUUGUUUCAUAGAAGGUCAAUCCUAAAUUUGUUGCUUGCCGAGAGGGUUAUGCCACUUGGUUUUGCCGCAAAGGCUUGGCUGCACCUGCAAACUGCGCAUUUCAGACUCAUGUAAUAUUAUGUAUAUCGACCAUAAAUGUUAAAUGUUACAAAUAGAUUUUUGACUCAUUAGAAAUUACAUGAGCUUUGAUCAUGUUAUUGUUUACUUGGAAUACAUGUAUUGAAUAUUUUGAUAAUAUACAAAAUAUAUUAGAUUGU